AUCGAACGCUGGCGGCAGGCUUAACACAUGCAAGUCGAACGAGUGGCGGACGGGUGAGUAAUGUCUGGGAAACUGCCCGAUGGAGGGGGGUCACUACUUGAAACGGUAGCUAAUUCCGCCUACCAUCGGAUGUGCCCAGCUGGGAUUAGCUGGUAGGUGGGGGAAAGGCUCACCUAGGCGACGAUCCCUAGCUGUUCUGAUAGGAAGACGAUCCACACUGGAACUGAGACACGGUCCAGACUCCUAGGGGAGGCACCAGUGGGGAAUAUUGCACAAUGGGCGAAAGCCUGAUGCAGCCAUGCCGCGUGUAUGCAGAAGGCCUUCGGGUUGUAAAGUACUUGCAGCGGGGAGGCGUUACCCGCAGAAGAAGCACCGGCUAACUCCGUGCCAGCAGCCGCGGUAAUAC
rnacentral:rRNA from 1 species